rnacentral:rRNA from 1 species
UACGUAGGUGGCAAGCGUUGUCCGGAUUUACUGGGCGUAAAGAGCGCGCAGGCGGUCGUUCAAGUCGCGUGUGAAAGCCCCCGGCUCAACUGGGGAGGGUCAGCGCGAUACUGAUCGACUCGAAGGCAGGAGAGGGAAGUGGAAUUCCCGGUGUAGUGGUGAAAUGCGUAGAUAUCAGGAGGAACACCUGCGGUGUAGACAGCUUACUGGACCACUUCUGACGCUGAGACACGAAAGCGUGGGUAGCAAACAGG